rnacentral:tRNA from 1 species
GCGCAAGCAGCUUCACCGUGGGAAUCAGACUAUGAAUCUGGGGUCAGGAGUUCGAAUCUCUUCGGGCGCGCCA